rnacentral:tRNA from 1 species
GGGAGCGAGGUGUAAUGGUUUGCAUACGUGCCUUGGACGUACGGGGAGAAGUUCGAUUCUUACGUUCCCG